rnacentral:rRNA from 1 species
UACGUAGGGUGCAAGCGUUGUCCGGAAUUAUUGGGCGUAAAGAGCUCGUAGGCGGUUCGUCACGUCGGCUGUGAAAACCUGAGGCUCAACCUCAGGCCUGCAGUCGAUACGGGCGGACUCGAGUUCGGCAGGGGAGACUGGGAUUCCUGGUGUAGCGGUGAAAUGCGCAGAUAUCAGGAGGAACACCGGUGGCGAAGGCGGGUCUCUGGGCCGAUACUGACGCUGAGGAGCGAAAGCGUGGGGAGCGAACAGG